CCUACGGGUGGCAGCAGUAAGGGAUAUUGGUCAAUGGGGGAAACCCUGAACCAGCAACGCCGCGUGAGGGAAGACGGUUUUCGGAUUGUAAACCUCUGUCCUCUGUGAAGAUGAUGACGGUAGCAGAGGAGGAAGCUCCGGCUAACUACAUGCCAGCAGCCGCAGUACUGCGUAGGGAGCGAGCGUUGUCCGGAUUUACUGGGUGUAAAGGGGGCGUAGGCGGCUUGGCAAGUCAGUAGUGAAAUCCAUGGGCUUAACCCAUGAACUGCUAUUGAAACUGGCGAGUUUGAGUGAAGUAGAGGUAGGCGGAAUUCGCGGUGUAGCGGUGAAAUGCGUAGAGAUCGCGAGGAACACCAGUUGCGAAGGCAGCCUACUGAGCUUUAACUGACGCUGAGGCACGAAAGCGUGGGUAGCAAACAGGAUUAGAUACCCGAGUAGUC
rnacentral:rRNA from 1 species